AUGCCGCUCCCGUACAUGUACGAGACCUUCCCCGAGCUGCUACAGCCGGUGGGAUCUGUCUCAGACGAGAGCGUGAAGGAGUGGAAGGAAGUGAAGGCAAUGAUGGAGGCAGAUUCAAAUAUUGAUUUUGAAAAGAAGCAAUCAAUUAAACUUGAAACUCAUAAAACACAUGACCCUUCCGUCAUGGACCCUGGCGGUAAGGUCACACAACCUACCGCCAAGGCACUUCGAUAUUUCGUUACAGAAACUUCCCGAGGCAAAAAUCCAGCAACCACCUACCGUCAGGUGUUCUGGCGGUAG
rnacentral:rRNA from 1 species